AGAGUUUGAUCAUGGCUCAGAUUGAACGCUGGCGGAAUGCUUUACACAUGCAAGUCGAACGGCAGCACGGGAGCUUGCUCCUGGUGGCGAGUGGCGAACGGGUGAGUAAUAUAUCGGAACGUAUCCAAUAAUGGGGGACAACGAGUCGAAAGAUUCGCUAAUACCGCAUACGCCCUACGGGGGAAAGCUAGGGAUCGUAAGACCUGGCGUUAAUGGAGCGGCUGAUAUCUGAUUAGCUAGUUGGUGGGGUAAAGGCCUACCAAGGCUUUGAUCAGUAGCUGGUCUGAGAGGACGACCAGCCACACUGGAACUGAGACACGGUCCAGACUCCUACGGGAGGCAGCAGUGGGGAAUUUUGGACAAUGGGGGCAACCCCGAUCCAGCCAUUCCGCGUGAGUGAAGAAGGCCUUCGGGUUGUAAAGCUCUUUCGCAAGGGAAGAAAACUUAUCCUCUAACAUAGGGUGAGGCUGACGGUACCUUGAUAAGAAGCACCGGCUAACUACGUGCCAGCAGCCGCGGUAAUACGUAGGGUGCGAGCGUUAAUCGGAAUUACUGGGCGUAAAGCGUGCGCAGGCGGUUUUGAAAGUCAGAUGUGAAAUCCCCGGGCUCAACCUGGGAACUGCGUUUGAAACUCCAAGACUAGAGUAUGGCAGAGGGGGGUAGAAUUCCACGUGUAGCAGUGAAAUGCGUAGAGAUGUGGAGGAAUACCAAUGGCGAAGGCAGCCCCCUGGGUCAAUACUGACGCUCAUGCACGAAAGCGUGGGGAGCAAACAGGAUUAGAUACCCUGGUAGUCCACGCCCUAAACGAUGUCUACUAGUUGUUGGGAGAGUAAAAUCUCUUAGUAACGCAGCUAACGCGUGAAGUAGACCGCCUGGGGAGUACGGUCGCAAGAUUAAAACUCAAAGGAAUUGACGG
rnacentral:rRNA from 1 species